AGUGUAUCAACUAAUACAUUGAUUACUGUGGAAAGAGAGAAUCAGUCCCACUCACACAAGCAAACUGGCUCUGGUUAUAAAAGGCAAAAAAAAAAAAUAACACUGAUAGAAUCCUUGCUACUGGCCCAGUGGUAGUUCCUCUAUAUGGUAGUUCCAUUUCUUCUCAUGCUGCGGCUGCUUCCUAACUCACAGUGACUUCCAACAGACGUAUGUGUUCUUGUGCCAUCUUAAUUGUGGUAAAUGUCCUAAUUGUUCAGUAACACUUGCAAAAAAGC